CGCGGCCUAUCAGCUUGUUGGUGGGGUAACGGCCUACCAAGGCUCCGACGGGUAGCUGGUCUGAGAGGACGACCAGCCACACUGGGACUGAGACACGGCCCAGACUCCUACGGGAGGCAGCAGUGGGGAAUCUUGCGCAAUGGGCGAAAGCCUGACGCAGCAACGCCGCGUGGGGGACGAAGGCCUUCGGGUUGUAAACCCCUUUCAGCAGGGACGAACAUGACGGUACCUGCAGAAGAAGCCCCGGCCAACUACGUGCCAGCAGCCGCGGUAAUACGUAGGGGGCGAGCGUUGUCCGGAUUUAUUGGGCGUAAAGAGCUCGUAGGCGGUUUGGCAAGUCGGGUGUGAAAACUCCGGGCUCAACUCGGAGACGCCACUCGAUACUGCCAUGACUUGAGUCCGGUAGGGGAGUGCGGAAUUCCUGGUGUAGCGGUGAAAUGCGCAGAUAUCAGGAGGAACACCGGUGGCGAAGGCGGCACUCUGGGCCGGUACUGACGCUGAGGAGCGAAAGCGUGGGGAGCGAACAGGAUUAGAUACCCUGGUAGUCCACGCCGUAAACGUUGGGCACUAGGUGUGGGGCUCGAUCGACGGGCUCCGUGCCGUAGCUAACGCAUUAAGUGCCCCGCCUGGGGAGUACGG
rnacentral:rRNA from 1 species